GGGGAGAGAGCUUAGCAAGGGGACAUGAGGAAGCGAGCAUGUGGGCGUUGAGGGAGUGCUUGGGAGUUGCGGCGGCGGUCACUGCGGCGGCGGCGGACGAUGGGGAGCAGCGGCGUUCCUCGUCGCUGGAGGUACCGUUACCGCUGGACUGAGCCUGCGGUAACUGCGGGCUCUGUUGUCGGCCUCGUUCCUCGUCGUUGGGGUUCCGGAUCGGGGAGCGGGUUUGUAGUUCGUUUCGGGAGCGGCGGCGGCGGCGGGCGCACCUCGAUCUUCGCCCUCACCUCCCCGGUUUUGUCAGGGUGCUACCUCAUGCAGUUGGGAGAGUGCCCGAAGGCGCAGCUACCGGCGGCGGGGUUGCUCUACGCCGUCGAGUUCCCGCUCCAGCCGCAACAGAGGUCCCGGCUGCCGAGCCGCGAGAAGCUCUACCCGUUGUGGUCCCAGUAGCGGCGGCAGAUGCCCGGGGCUCUCUAGGUUUUGUCCUCAGUCGUGGUUUUGUCAUUUCUCCGAAACCACGCAACACUCAUAUCUUACCGUCUUAAAUCGUGACCCCUAGCUUCCUCUUUCGGUUUUCCACUGUCCGCUAGUUGUCUUUAAAGAGAACAAUAAGCUGUUUGUUACCUCCGUUCGUAUAAUUGUGUAAAUUACGGUGUGAGUGUCUAACUGUAUAAACAGGUUCAAGAAGUUCGACUACCACCUUGGUCCAGACGUACGUAGUUACGACGUUGAGAUCGUGAACGUCUACGACCCUAAGGUUACGCUCUGUAUCAGUGAAGAACGUCACGACCCAUAGACACAAGAUGAGGAAACGAACUAGACUUAAUAUAUCUUCUGUCGCGACCUCCGCGCCUACAGUGUCAACCGUAAGAACGUUUCUACCUGUUUCACUGAGAAGACGUCUACCUGCGCUUUGAUGGUUACCUAUGUAAACUCUGACACUACCUGGAACGUUGACUUCCCACGUUUCGCUAGCGUUGGAUGUAGGCUCUCCACGAUAACCUCUUGUGCUUCGUCGACCUCACAGUCGCUCCGAUCAAUUUGCUCUCGGACACCGUGAACUUCCGCCCAGACAACACAUUGCGACUAACUACCGAAUAGACGGAUCGUCUCGAUCGUAACUCUCUUUUUUACUGUGACUUGGACAGUUUCUAUCGACCUGGUAGUAAAAGGGAGGAUUACAUACGACAUCGCACGUCCUCUACUGUAGAACUAAUACACCUUGAAACUACAACUUGAACCAUAGGUACAACAUGAAAACUUUUACAAAAUUGUACGACGUUUAAAUUGAAUUUAUGGUCCGCUUCAUACCAUGUAUGUAGGGGUCCAACUGUACAACACUUUCGUAAAGAUGAAGG
rnacentral:rRNA from 1 species